rnacentral:lncRNA from 1 species
UAUAACUGAGAAAAGGGAAAGAGAGAGGGAGGCAGGGCACCGGGGGGAGGGGGGUAGCCUGGAUGAGAGAGAGAGAGAGAGAGAGAGAGAGAGAGAGAGGGAGUGGGAGGUAGGGGGGAUGCAAGAGCUUUGCUGCUCUGUACUUCGAAAGUCACUGAAAAGCUGAGCUGCACAGGAGAGACUUAAAACAGCACCGGCGGUAUAAAUACCCUGCCUUAACUGGAUUAGAGAACGGCGACUUCCUCCGUAAAGAGAUACGAAAGGAAGAAAAAAACUGAGACAGGGAAAAAGAAAAAAGGCUUCUCGCUGAAAAGCAAUACCUGCACAACUCAUUCACACACACGCUGCAAAAAAAAAAAAAACAGCCUCCCAAAGAGUGCCGAUGCAGGAGACUGUGACUGUGUUGGACACGGGCGCCUAAAGGCACUCAGGUGAUCCCGGCUGAUGACGGGAAGGGGUCCGCUGGAGUGGUGGCGAGCAUCUCAGUCAACGUUACGAUGGUAUCGGCGGACCGACCGAAGCAGGGCAAUGGAUUUAACCCCCUUCCUCCCCUGCCUCCUAUCCAGCAUUCCUUGGCUGGACUGACUCAAGAGUAGAGGCCACUGAGCUCAGGUCUUCCAUAACCAGGCAUCCGUCUUCCUGCCAUCUCUCUGGCCGACGACAGUUCUCAGUUACCUCCGCAUCUCUACUUGGGCGACAUCACCGAGCACCCCGAAAUUUCGGUGGGGGCCAAGUGGGACACGACAGAGACUUAGGCACUCCAGAUAAGGAAGUCCGACUGCCGACUAGCCUCCAAUGCGAAGGAGAAGGUGCGCGGCCUAAAAAAAGGCCUGCCUGACAAAGUGCUCCCUCCCAGCCCAAGGGGCACCCCAGCAGCGUAGAGCUCCGUGCAUGAAAAAUACAUGUUUCCACUGCUGGAGAUGAACGCGGAGCCAUAAAUCGAUGGGAAGGGGCUCUGAUUUGCUCAUUACGGCCUUUCCUCAGUCAACAAACCGCUGAAAUGACAUAGCGCAGCAAAGCAAACACCACGCGGCGCAAAACUCUCGCACCCUC